rnacentral:rRNA from 1 species
UACGUAGGUGGCAAGCGUUACUCGGAAUCACUAGGCGUAAAGCGCAGGUAGGCGGUUCGGUCAGUCUCUUGUGAAAGCUCCCGGCUCAACUGGGAGAGGUCAAGGGAAACUACCGGGCUAGAGUGUGGCAGAGGAAGCUGGAAUUCCCGGUGUAGCGGUGAAAUGCGUAGAGAUCGGGAGGAAUACCUAUGGCGAAAGCAGGCUUCUGGGCCGUCACUGACGCUGAUCUGCGAAAGCUAGGGGAGCAAACAGG